rnacentral:rRNA from 1 species
UACCAGCACCCCGAGUGGUCGGGACGAUUAUUGGGCCUAAAGCAUCCGUAGCCGGUUUUACAAGUCUUCCGUUAAAUCCACCUGCUUAACAGAUGGGCUGCGGAAGAUACUAUAGGGCUAGGAGGCGGGAGAGGCAAGCGGUACUCAGUGGGUAGGGGUAAAAUCCUCUGAUCCAUUGAAGACCACCAGUGGCGAAGGCGGCUUGCCAGAACGCGCUCGACGGUGAGGGAUGAAAGCUGGG